rnacentral:tRNA from 1 species
UGAGGGAAAGCUCAGCUGGUAGAACAUGAGACUCUUAAUCUCAGGAUUGUGGGUUUGAGCCCCACAUUGGGUGAAAAA